rnacentral:rRNA from 1 species
GAUGAACGCUGGCGGCGUGCCUAAUACAUGCAAGUCGAGCGAACAGAUGAGGAGCUUGCUCCUCUGACGUUAGCGGCGGACGGGUGAGUAACACGUGGAUAACCUACCUAUAAGACUGGGAUAACUUCGGGAAACCGGAGCUAAUACCGGAUAAUAUAUUGAACCGCAUGGUUCAAUAGUGAAAGACGGUUUUGCUGUCACUUAUAGAUGGAUCCGCGCCGCAUUAGCUAGUUGGUAAGGUAACGGCUUACCAAGGCAACGAUGCGUAGCCGACCUGAGAGGGUGAUCGGCCACACUGGAACUGAGACACGGUCCAGACUCCUACGGGAGGCAGCAGUAGGGAAUCUUCCGCAAUGGGCGAAAGCCUGACGGAGCAACGCCGCGUGAGUGAUGAAGGUCUUCGGAUCGUAAAACUCUGUUAGUAGGGAAGAACAAAUGUGUAAGUAAAUAUGCACGUCUUGACGGUACCUAAUCAAAAAGCCACGGCUAACUACGUG